UGGUAUUUAAAGAAUAGUGGAACCACGUUGAUCCAUUUCGAACUCAAUUGUGAAACAUUAUAACAGCGACAAUACUUGGGGAGAAGUCCCUUGGGAAAAUAGCUUAUGCCAAGACU
rnacentral:rRNA from 1 species